GACGAACGCUGGCGGCGUGCUUAACACAUGCAAGUCGAACGGUGAAGCGCCUUCCUUUUUGGUGGGUGUGGAUGAGUGGCGAACGGGUGAGUAACACGUGAGUAACCUGCCCCCUUCUUCUGGAUAACCGCAUGAAAGUGUGGCUAAUACGGGAUAUUCUGGGUCUGUCGCAUGAUGGGUCUGGGAAAGAUAUUGUUUCGGUGGGGGAUGGGCUCGCGGCCUAUCAGCUUGUUGGUGGAGUGAUGGCCUACCGAGGCGGUGACGGGUAGCCGGCCUGAGAGGGUGGACGGUCACACUGGGACUGAGACACGGCCCAGACUCCUACGGGAGGCAGCAGUGGGGAAUAUUGCACAAUGGGCGCAAGCCUGAUGCAGCGACGCCGCGGGAGGGAUGGAGGCCUUCGGGUUGUGAACCUCUUUCGCCAGUGAAGCAGGCCUGCCUCGUUUGUGGGUGGGUUGACGGUAGCUGGAUAAGAAGCGCCGGCUAACUACGUG
rnacentral:rRNA from 1 species